rnacentral:tRNA from 1 species
GGGUACGUAGCUCAGGGGCAGAGCGUCGGGCUUUUAACCCGGGGGUCGCAGGUUCGACCCCUGCCGUACCCA